rnacentral:SRP_RNA from 2 species
GCCGGGUGCGGUGGCUCACGCCUGUAAUCCCAGCACUUGGGAGGCUGAGGCGGGCGGGUCACCUGAGGUCAGGAGUUUGAGACCAGCCUGACCAACAUGGUGAAACCCCGUCUCUA